ACCACAAUGUUGUAUCCAAUUCAAACCCUAUGGGAAUAAGACCUUUUGUUUCAGGAAUUUCCAUAUCAUUUAAAUGUGAAUGUCACAUUCUA